rnacentral:tRNA from 1 species
ACGCCCUUAGUUCAGUUCGGUAGAACGCGGGUCUCCAAAACCCGAUGUCGUAGGUUCAAUUCCUACUGGGCGUG